rnacentral:rRNA from 1 species
GACGAACGCUGGCGGCGUGCCUAACACAUGCAAGUCGAGCGAGUGAAUCUCCUUCGGGAGUGAAGCUAGCGGCGGACGGGUGAGUAACACGUGGGCAACCUGCCUCAUAGAGGGGAAUAGCCUUUCGAAAGGAAGAUUAAUACCGCAUAAGAUUGUAGCUUCGCAUGAAGUAGCAAUUAAAGGAGCAAUCCGCUAUGAGAUGGGCCCGCGGCGCAUUAGCUAGUUGGUGAGGUAACGGUUCACCAAGGCGACGAUGCGUAGCCGACCUGAGAGGGUGAUCGGCCACAUUGGGACUGAGACACGGCCCAGACUCCUACGGGAGGCAGCAGUGGGGAAUAUUGCACAAUGGGGGAAACCCUGAUGCAGCAACGCCGCGUGAGUGAUGAAGGCCUUAGGGUUGUAAAGCUCUUUCGCCAGGGAAGAUAAUGACGGUACCUGAAAAGGAAGCCUCGGCUAACUCCGUGCCAGCCGCCGCCGUAA